GACGUAGGGCGCGAGCGUUGUCCGGAUUUAUUGGGCGUAAAGAGCUCGUAGGCGGCUUGUCGCGUCGACCGUGAAAACUUGGGGCUCAACCCCAAGCCUGCGGUCGAUACGGGGCAGGCUAGAGUUCGGUAGGGGAGACUGGAAUUCCUGGUGUAGCGGUGAAAUGCGCAGAUAUCAGGAGGAACACCGGUGGCGAAGGCGGGUCUCUGGGCCGAUACUGACGCUGAGGAGCGAAAGCGUGGGGAGCGAACAGG
rnacentral:rRNA from 1 species